rnacentral:rRNA from 1 species
UACGUAGGUGGCGAGCGUUGUCCGGAUUUACUGGGCGUAAAGGGAGCGUAGGCGGACUUUUAAGUGAGAUGUGAAAUACCCGGGCUCAACUUGGGUGCUGCAUUUCAAACUGGAAGUCUAGAGUGCAGGAGAGGAGAAUGGAAUUCCUAGUGUAGCGGUGAAAUGCGUAGAGAUUAGGAAGAACACCAGUGGCGAAGGCGAUUCUCUGGACUGUAACUGACACUGAGGCACGAAAGCGUGGGGAGCAAACAGGAUUAGAUACCCCUGUA